AAAUAUCCUGGUGGGAAGUCUUUUGUGGGUUAGGAGCCAAAUGAAGUAUUUUAUCUUGUUUGAGGUUUGUAGUUUCCAGAUCCACUUAAAGUGGUCCACUUCCACAUGAGAGUAAUCUUGAGCACUUUUGUUUAUGAGGGAGUAUGCAGAAUUAUUGAAAAACUGCACAUUGGGUGUGAAUACCCCAUAUUAGUGUAUCAUCCUUAAUGGUUAUACUUGGAAGAAACACAGCCUUCAGAAUGUUUUGGAUAUGGGGAGGGAGGUCAAAUGACAUGGCUGGUGUGUCCCAAGUUCCCUUAUUGUGCACUGUCUCCACCAUAAGUUGAAGGUCAUUUUGGGUUAAGGGUCCCUCCAGAUAGGGGAUUUGUUGUUCCCAUGGUGUCUCCCAGCCUGGGUAGGUUUGUACAUAGUACAAUUUUUGUGGAUAAGGGCUCUAGCCCAAAGUCAAUUGGUAUUCUUGUAGGAUCUCCAUGCCAGGUUUGCUAAAGCAACUUUGUUUUUAAAGUUUGCUUUUUGCAGCCCUAGCCCUCCCCCAACUUUAGUUUUAGUGACUACCUCCCACUUAAUCAUAUGAAGUUUUCUCUUUUCAGGAGUGGUG
rnacentral:lncRNA from 1 species